rnacentral:rRNA from 1 species
AUUGAACGCUGGCGGCAUGCCUUACACAUGCAAGUCGAACGGCAGCACGGGAGCAAUCCUGGUGGCGAGUGGCGAACGGGUGAGUAAAGUAUCGGAACGUGCCCAGUCGUGGGGGAUAACGUAGCGAAAGUUACGCUAAUACCGCAUACGAUCUAUGGAUGAAAGCGGGGGAUCGCAAGACCUCGCGCGAUUGGAGCGGCCGAUAUCAGAUUAGGUAGUUGGUGGGGUAAAGGCUCACCAAGCCGACGAUCUGUAGCUGGUCUGAGGGGACGACCAGCCACACUGGGACUGAGACACGGCCCAGACUCCUACGGGAGGCAGCAGUGGGGAAUUUUGGACAAUGGGCGAAAGCCUGAUCCAGCCAUGCCGCGUGCAGGAUGAAGGCCUUCGGGUUGUAAACUGCUUUUGUACGGAACGAAGAGGUUUGGCCUAAUAAGCUGAGCUCAUGACGGUACCGUAAGAAUAAGCACCGGCUAACUACGUGCCAGCAGCCGCCGUAA